AGCUUUGUGCAGUGGCAGUAUCACAGCCAGUGAGGCUUAUCCGAGACGUGAUUCUUGCUUAUAUCGUAUCAUGAUUCUGUAUCUUAAGCCAUUCCUGGAAUUAUGAUGAAUUGCUAGGGAUUUGAUGUAACCCAUAGGUA
ensembl:snRNA U4 U4 spliceosomal RNA